rnacentral:rRNA from 1 species
GACGGGGGAUGCAAGUGUUGUCCGGAAUCACUGGGCGUAAAGCGUCUGUAGGUGGUUUAAUAAGUCAACUGUUAAAUCUUGAGGCUCAACCUCGAAAUCGCAGUCGAAACUAUUAGACUAGAGUAUAGUAGGGGUAAAGGGAAUUUCCAGUGGAGCGGUGAAAUGCGUAGAUAUUGGAAAGAACACCGAUGGCGAAGGCACUUUACUGGGCUAUUACUAACACUGAGAGACGAAAGCUAGGGUAGCAAAUGGG